UACAGAGGUGGCAAGCGUUGUCCGGAAUUACUGGGCGUAAAGGGCGCGUAGGCGGUUCGUUAAGUCCUGUGUGAAAUCCCCCGGCUCAACUGGGGAACUGCACAGGAAACUAGCGGGCUUGAGUUCGGGAGAGGGAAGCGGAAUUCCGGGUGUAGCGGUGAAAUGCGUAGAUAUCCGGAGGAACACCGGUGGCGAAGGCGGCUUCCUGGACCGACACUGACGCUGAGGCGCGAAAGCUAGGGGAGCAAACGGG
rnacentral:rRNA from 1 species